rnacentral:rRNA from 1 species
CUUAGGAAUCUGCCAUUUAGUGGGGGACAACAUUCCGAAAGGAAUGCUAAUACCGCAUACGUCCUACGGGAGAAAGCAGGGGAUCUUCGGACCUUGCGCUAAAUGAUGAGCCUAAGUCGGAUUAGCUAGUUGGUGGGGUAAAGGCCUACCAAGGCGACGAUCUGUAGCGGGUCUGAGAGGAUGAUCCGCCACACUGGGACUGAGACACGGCCCAGACUCCUACGGGAGGCAGCAGUGGGGAAUAUUGGACAAUGGGCGGAAGCCUGAUCCAGCCAUGCCGCGUGUGUGAAGAAGGCCUUUUGGUUGUAAAGCACUUUAAGCGAGGAGGAGGCUCUUCUAGUUAAUACCUAGGAUGAGUGGACGUUACUCGCAGAAUAAGCACCGGCUAACUCUGUGCCAGCAGCCGCGGUAAUACAGAGGGUGCGAGCGUUAAUCGGAUUUACUGGGCGUAAAGCGUGCGUAGGCGGCUGAUUAAGUCGGAUGUGAAAUCCCUGAGCUUAACUUAGGAAUUGCAUUCGAUACUGGUCAGCUAGAGUAUGGGAGAGGAUGGUAGAAUUCCAGGUGUAGCGGUGAAAUGCGUAGAGAUCUGGAGGAAUACCGAUGGCGAAGGCAGCCAUCUGGCCUAAUACUGACGCUGAGGUACGAAAGCAUGGGGAGCAAACAGGAUUAGAUACCCUGGUAGUCCAUGCCGUAAACGAUGUCUACUAGCCGUUGGGGCCUUUGAGGCUUUAGUGGCGCAGCUAACGCGAUAAGUAGACCGCCUGGGGAGUACGGUCGCAAGACUAAAACUCAAAUGAAUUGACGGGGGCCCGCACAAGCGGUGGAGCAUGUGGUUUAAUUCGAUGCAACGCGAAGAACCUUACCUGGCCUUGACAUACUAGAAACUUUCCAGAGAUGGAUUGGUGCCUUCGGGAAUCUAGAUACAGGUGCUGCAUGGCUGUCGUCAGCUCGUGUCGUGAGAUGUUGGGUUAAGUCCCGCAACGAGCGCAACCCUUUUCCUUAUUUGCCAGCGAGUAAUGUCGGGAACUUUAAGGAUACUGCCAGUGACAAACUGGAGGAAGGCGGGGACGACGUCAAGUCAUCAUGGCCCUUACGGCCAGGGCUACACACGUGCUACAAUGGUCGGUACAAAGGGUUGCUACCUAGCGAUAGGAUGCUAAUCUCAAAAAGCCGAUCGUAGUCCGGAUUGGAGUCUGCAACUCGACUCCAUGAAGUCGGAAUCGCUAGUAAUCGCGGAUCAGAAUGCCGCGGUGAAUACGUUCCCGGGCCUUGUACACACCGCCCGUCACACCAUGGGAGUUUGUUGCACCAGAAAGUAGGUAAGUCUAAACCGCAA